GUUCAAGUCUCUCCGUCCGCA
rnacentral:tRNA from 1 species